rnacentral:rRNA from 1 species
GACGAACGCUGGCGGCGUGCUUAACACAUGCAAGUCGAACGGUGAAGGGACCGGUUUUUGCUGGUUCUGGAUGAGUGGCGAACGGGUGAGUAACACGUGAGUAACCUGCCCCCUUCUUCUGGAUAACCGCAUGAAAGUGUGGCUAAUACGGGAUAUUCUGCGCCUGCUGCAUGGUGGGUGUGGGAAAGAUAUUGUUUCGGUGGGGGAUGGGCUCGCGGCCUAUCAGCUUGUUGGUGGGGUGAUGGCCUACCAAGGCGGUGACGGGUAGCCGGCCUGAGAGGGUGGACGGUCACGCUGGGACUGAGACACGGCCCAGACUCCUACGGGAGGCAGCAGUGGGGAAUAUUGCACAAUGGGCGCAAGCCUGAUGCAGCGACGCCGCGUGAGGGAUGGAGGCCUUCGGGUUGUAAACCUCUUUCGCCAGUGAAGCAGGCCUGUCCCUUUUGUGGGUGGGUUGACGGUAGCUGGAUAAGAAGCGCCGGCUAACUACGUG